UGUAUAUCCCCUAAACUCCUCACCUAUAUCACAAAAACCUGCCAAGGCAGAAUACAUUCCCUUGGGAAAGGAGCUUUGGCGGGCAAGCAGGCAUCGGGUCCCAUCUGACACCAGCGUGAUCGCCACAGGAGCCAUCUAGGAAAGGGGAAUGGAAACUGAGAUGCUGGCACUUUGGGCCCUGCCAAUGAGCUAAAGCAGUGUAUAAUUAAGGAAUUGCACAGGCUUCCUUCCCCAGGACAAAGCAGCGCACAGUCUUCUUGGAUUACUGUCCUCUUACAGCAAUAAUUACCUGUGGAUAAUAGAUUAUAUUAUUGGAAGGGCACACACGCUUGCUGCCAGCCACGUUCUUCUUGGUGGGCUGCCCACUUCUGCUGCAGAACUGAUGAGCAUCAUGCCAGCGGAGAAGAGCUUGAGCCUAGGAACACAAUGAUGGGCCUGGUGUCAUUUGGAGAGAAUGCGGGGCUCAUCUUUAACAGCACUGGGCCUAGUGUCUGGAACAACUCACAGAAAAAUGCCAAUCUCUUUACAGCUCACGUAAUUUAAAUGGUUACUGUUUAAAUUUCAGGACAAGUAAACUAACUGAACAUAUUCCUCUAGCAUCAGAAAUCUGAAUAAAAGAAAGCAUAUUUUUA
rnacentral:lncRNA from 1 species